rnacentral:rRNA from 1 species
GAUGAACGCUGGCGGCGUGCUUAACACAUGCAAGUCGAACGGAAAGGCUCCUGCUUGCAGGGGUACUCGAGUGGCGAACGGGUGAGUAACACGUGGGUAACCUGCCCUCAACUUGGGGAUAACCUGGGGAAACUGGGCCUAUUACCGGAUAGGAGAUGGUUUUGCAUGCAUUGGUGGAGAUUUUUCGGUGUGGGAUGGGCUCGCGGCCUAUCAGCUUGUUGGUGGGGUAAUGGGCUACCAAGGCGUCGACGGGUAGCCGGCCUGAGAGGGUGGACGGCCACAUUGGGACUGAGAUACGGCCCAGACUCCUACGGGAGGCAGCAGUGGGGAAUAUUGCACAAUGGGCGCAAGCCUGAUGCAGCGACGCCGCGUGGGGGAUGACGGCCUUCGGGUUGUAAACUCCUUUCGCUAGGGACGAAGCGCAAGUGACGGUACCUGGAGAAGAAGCACCGGCUAACUACGUG